rnacentral:lncRNA from 1 species
GGUUGAUCCAGAUAUUUCCAUUAAGGGGGCACUUACUGUCAUUAGAGGUUGCCCGUUUGGACUUUCAGUAAUUGUUUACCAAGUGUUCCUACCAAAGGGGGCGACAGACACUUUGGGUCCAUGAAGUCGCCACUUAUAUAACUUACAGUUUAUUUGUUUUCUUUUUGUUGUCUCGCCGUCCGUUGUGUGAAUAGGUGUUGUACUUCUAAUAUUUUGCCCUAGGUCCCAGAAGUCGCCACUUUAUAUUACUUACAAUUUAUUUGUUUCUUUUGUUGUCCCGGUGUCCGUUGUGUGAAUCAGUGUUGCACUUAUUUAUUUUUACAAGUAAAAUUAUUGUUGUAGUGCUCCAAACAUGACUUUUUUUUGUGCUAUGUCUUCUUGUACUACUUUUACCAUUACAAAACAUAAACAAUGGGAAGUGAACUCAAUACAUAUCACAAUGUCAGGUCUACUCGAC